UACGAAGGGGGCUAGCGUUGUUCGGAAUUACUGGGCGUAAAGCGUACGUAGGCGGAUUUGUAAGUAGGGGGUGAAAUCCCCAGGCUCAACCUGGGAACUGCCUUCUAGACUGCAAGUCUUGAGAUCAGGAGAGGCGAGUGGAAUUCCGAGUGUAGAGGUGAAAUUCGUAGAUAUUCGGAGGAACACCAGUGGCGAAGGCGACUCGCUGGACUGAUACUGACGCUGAGGUACGAAAGCGUGGGGAGCAAACAGG
rnacentral:rRNA from 2 species